CCCGCCCCCUCACUCCCCCUGCUCCCCCCCCAGGCAGCCCGACGCCUCCACAGGUCUGUCCCUGUCCAGUCCAGAGCUGCUGUCGGAGCUGACAAGGAGACAGACUUAUCCUCUGAGACGCGUCCAGAAGCACAGCGGACUGACCACCGUCUUCUCUGGACGAGGACGACAGGUCUCAGGCUCCUCCCCCUAGGCUGAGCCAGCCAAUAGGAGAGCUGCUGCUCCUCUUUCUACCUCCACAUCAGGCUGAACAACUUGAGCCAGAAAACUGAACCACUGAGUCCAUGGAGCUUCGCACACAGAAGCCCCGCCCCGUUUAUGACCACGCCCAGUUUAAACCCCGCCCCUCUAAUUCCGCCUCGUCUCAAGCCCCGCCCCCUGCGCUGCAGAAGAGCUGCGGAUGUUUUUGAUCCGAAGAGAUAAAGAUCAUAAAGUUUAAUUUAAACAUCAACUUGCUAAUUUCAGAUGAAAUUUGAAAUGAAUAUCUAAAAGUAAAGUUUAAACGACGGCGAUUAGUGGAUGCUGUUCCAGUUUAGCUUCCAGAAUCGGGUCAUGUGACUGCUGUCAUGUUUCCACCAACCCAGAACCAAGAUGGUGGUUCAGCAGAACCUCAGGCCCAGUUCAGAACCCUACAGAUCCAAACUGUUCAGUUACGCUUUUAAUAACUCUGCCAAUUCAGUCUGAUUUGAUUCAUUUAUGAAUAAAUUGGCUCAAUAAAUAGUUUAGCUAAUUAAUUAAUGAGUUUAUAAAUGAAACAAUAUGAAAAGAAAAUAAUAAAAUAUACUUAUCUGGCAUAAAUGUAUUUUUUCAGGUUAUUUUCAGAUAUUAUAAUUUAUCUUUGCGCGGUCAUUGUGGUUUGAUUUUGUAGAUAUUGUAAAUCUAUAUAGAUUUACAAUAUUAAAUCUAUGUAGGCUGAAAAAAAUGCACAUGUUGGACACUUAAAAUGAUAAAAGCCUUUUAAAAAUGUAUGAGUUUUUAUGGAAACUUGUUUAAUUGUGUAAUAAAUAUGUAAAAUAAAA